rnacentral:rRNA from 1 species
UACAGAGGUCUCAAGCGUUGUUCGGAUUCAUUGGGCGUAAAGGGUGCGUAGGUGGCGGGGUAAGUCAGGUGUGAAAUCUCGGGGCUCAACCCCGAAACUGCACUUGAUACUGCCUUGCUUGAGUACUGGAGAGGAGAUUGGAAUUUACGGUGUAGCAGUGAAAUGCGUAGAUAUCGUAAGGAAGACCAGUGGCGAAGGCGAAUCUCUGGACAGUUACUGACACUGAGGCACGAAGGCCAGGGGAGCAAACGGGG